rnacentral:misc_RNA from 1 species
AAGUCGUAACAAUGGUUUCCGUAGGUGAACCUGCGGAAGGAUCAUUAAAGAAUUACCUGGACUUCCGGUCCUCGUCGAGAAAGGUCGUCCCAGGGUGGCCUCCAGGUUCCCCGGGGGCUUCCCCCCAUCUUAACCCCUUCUAAGUUUAACUCUACCUCUGUUGCUUUGGCAACAGCUCCUGCUCGGGUGGUUCCGGGCUUGGGCUCUGCCGGAGGGCCCCAAACUCGAUGGAUAAGUCUAAUGUUUGUCUGAGUACGAUAUAAUCGUUUACAA